CCUACGGGAGGCAGCAGUGGGGAAUAUUGGACAAUGGGGGAAACCCUGAUCCAGCGACGCCGCGUGAUUGAAGAAGUAUUUCGGUAUGUAAAGCUCUUUCAGCAGGAAAGAAAUUGACGGUACCUGACUAAGAAGCCUCGGGUAACUACGUGUCAGCAGCCGCGGUAAUUCGUAGGGGGCAAGCGUUAUUCGGAUUUACUGGGUGUAAAGGGGGGGUAGGCGGGAAUGCAAGUCUGGAGGGAAAUGCCGGGGCCCAACCCCCGAACUGCUGUGGAAACUGUGAGGCUUGAGUGCAGGAGAGGUAGGCGGAAUUCCUGGUGUAGCGGUGAAAUGCGUAGAUAUCAGGAGGAACACCGGCGGCGAAGGCGGCUUACUGGACAGUAACUGACGUUGAGGCGCGAAGGCGUGGGGAGCAAACAGGAUUAGAUACCCCUGUAGUC
rnacentral:rRNA from 1 species